rnacentral:rRNA from 1 species
UACAGAGGUCCCGAGCGUUGUUCGGAUUCACUGGGCGUAAAGGGCGCGCAGGCGGUCACGCACGUCCGUUGUGAAAUCGCUCGGCUCAACUGGGCGGGGUCAGCGGAUACGGCGCGACUGGAGCAAGCUAGGGGGCAAUGGAAUUCCCGGUGUAGUGGUGGAAUGCGUAGAUAUCGGGAGGAACACCAGUGGCGAAGGCGGUUGCCUGGAGCUUUGCUGACGCUGAGGCGCGAAAGCGUGGGGAGCGAACAGG